AUACGUAGGGUGCGAGCGUUGUCCGGAAUUACUGGGCGUAAAGAGCUCGUAGGUGGUUUGUCGCGUCGUCUGUGAAAUUCCGGGGCUUAACUUCGGGCGUGCAGGCGAUACGGGCAUAACUUGAGUACUGUAGGGGAGACUGGAAUUCCUGGUGUAGCGGUGAAAUUCGCAGAUAUCAGGAGGAACACCGGUGGCGAAGGCGGGUCUCUGGGCAGUAACUGACGCUGAGGAGCGAAAGCAUGGGUAGCGAACAGGAUUAGAUACCCUGGUAGUCCAUGCCGUAAACGGUGGGCGCUAGGUGUAGGGGUCUUCCACGACUUCUGUGCCGUAGCUAACGCAUUAAGCGCCCCGCCUGGGGAGUACGGCCGCAAGGCUAAAACUCAAAGGAAUUGACGGGG
rnacentral:rRNA from 1 species